rnacentral:rRNA from 1 species
UGGGGAAUCUUGCACAAUGGGGGAAACCCUGAUGCAGCGACGCCGCGUGAACGAUGAAGCCCUUCGGGGUGUAAAGUUCUUUCGACAGGAACGAUAAUGACGGUACCUGGAGAAGAAGCUGCGGCUAACUACGUGCCAGCAGCCGCGGUAAUACGUAGGCAGCGAGCGUUGUUCGGAGUUACUGGGCGUAAAGAGUGCGUAGGCGGCGAGCCAAGUUUGGUGUGAAAUCUCCCGGCUUAACCGGGAGGGUGCGCCGAAAACUGGUUGGCUGGAGUAUGGGAGAGGAAAGCGGAAUUCCGGGUGUAGCGGUGAAAUGCGUAGAUAUCAGGAGGAACACCUGCGGUGUAGACAGCUUUCUGGACCAAAACUGACGCGGAGGCACGAAAGCGUGGGUAGCAAACA